GCCGAAGAGGUGCAGUUCACAGGUAGCUUAAAGCAAGGUCGUUGGUGUCCAUUUGAGUUUUAAGUCAGGGGUGAGUUGCCGAAGUAAGAUAGGCACCAAUAUCUAUCUUACUGGUUCGUAUGAGUUGAUUCUCGCGGACUGUCAUGGGAUUCAAAGCCCCCGUGGAGAACUUCAG
rnacentral:ncRNA from 1 species